AAUUUAUUUCCAUAUUGUUAGAGAAGCUGUAGUUAUCUUCUUCAGAAACUAUGCUCCGAACCAUCAAGGCAUCAUGAGCAAGUUCAGGCUCCUUUUGAGGUGAUCUUGCAGGGCUAGGUGUCCAUCUUGGGACCUUAACUGCAGAAUCCAUGCUUAAAUUUAAUCCUGGAAAAAGUUGAUGGAUAUGAGAUGAGAUUGAGAUUAGAAGCUAUGGCGGAUUGGAUUUGGGUUAUCAAUGAUUAUAAAUGGAUGAAUAUGAUCAAUGACUAUAUCAUGAUCACUACCUGAGUCAGAAGGAGGGUUAGUGCUCCUUGUAAAGCCAGUGCUAAACGGGAAAUUUGUUUCCAUAUUGUUAGAAAAGCUGUAGUUAUCUUCUUCAGAAACUAUGCUUUGAACUUCUAAGGCAUCAUGAGCUGGUUCAGGCUCCUUUUGAGGUGAUCUUGCAGGGUUUGGUGUCCAUCUUGGGACAUUAACUGAAGAAUCCAUGCUUAAAUUUAAUCCUGGCAAAAAUUGAUGGUUAUGAGAAGAGAUGAGAUCAGAAGCUAUGAAGAACUCGG
rnacentral:lncRNA from 1 species